rnacentral:rRNA from 1 species
AUUGAACGCUAGCGGGAUGCCUUACACAUGCAAGUCGAACGGAGUGGCAAACGGGUGAGUAAUGUAUCGGAACGUGCCCAGUCGCGGGGGAUCACUACGCGAAACCGACGCUAAUACCGCAUACUUUUAGAACGGCCGAGAUCGGAUUAGCUAGUUGGUGGGGGAACGGCUCACCAAGGCGACGGUCCGUAGCUGGUUUGAGCGGACGACCAGCCAGACUGGGACUGAGACACGGCCCAGACUCCUACGGUAGGCAGCAGUGGGGAAUUUUGGACAAUGGGUGAAACCCUGAUCCAGCCAUCCCGCGUGUGCGAUGAAGGCCUUCGGGUUGUAAAGCACUUUUGGCAGGAAAGCGGUACCUGCAGAAUAAGCACCGGCUAACUACGUGCCAGCAGCCGCGGUAAUAC